rnacentral:rRNA from 1 species
GAUGAACGCUGGCGGCGUGCCUAAUACAUGCAAGUCGAACGCUCUAUAGCAAUAUAGAGAGUGGCGAACGGGUGAGUAACACGUAGAUAACCUACCCUUAACUCGAGGAUAACUCUGGGAAACUGGAGCUAAUACUGGAUAGGACAUAUUGAGGCAUCUUGAUAUGUUUAAAGAUUUAUCGGUUAAGGAGGGGUCUGCGGCGCAUUAGUUAGUUGGUGAGGUAAAAGCUUACCAAGACGAUGAUGCGUAGCCGGACUGAGAGGUCGAACGGCCACAUUGGGACUGAGAACGGCCCAAACUCCUACGGGAGGCAGCAGUAGGGAAUUUUCGGCAAUGGGGGGAACCCUGACCGAGCAACGCCGCGUGGACGAAGAAGUUCUUCGGAAUGUAAAGUCCUUUUAUCUGGGAAGAAAAUAACCAAAUUGACGGUACCAGAUGAAUAAGCCCCGGACUAACUAUGUG